rnacentral:tRNA from 1 species
UAUAUUUUAAUGUAAAAAAGCAUAAAAAUUUUUGAUAUUUUUUGUAAUAGAUUUUAUCUAUUAAAUAUAA